CAGGGAGACAACACUGAUUGUGAUGUCUAAAUUAUUUAUUUUUAGGCCAUAAUCCUGUCACCUUAGGUCGAUCGGUACCUCAGUUUUAUAUCUAAAUGACUAAGUAAUUAGCUAUUAAAAUAUUGAAUUCAGUUCCUAAACUUUGUCUAGGUCACGCCCAACAAGGGUACUCCUGGGCCAUUAGCUCAGGUGGUUAGAGCGCACCCCUGAUAAGGGUGAGGUCCCUGGUUCAAGUCCAGGAUGGCCCAUUCGGUGUUGGGGGUAUAGCUCAGUUGGUAGAGCGCCUGCUUUGCAAGCAGGAUGUCAGCGGUUCGAGUCCGCUUACCUCCACUGAUCGACCUCCUGAUAACGAAAGCUUGAGGAGAUUUUGUUUGAUGUGAUCUAGAAUUUGUUCUUAAUGAACCUAGCUUCUUGCUAUAUAAAGCUAAGAAAACUAUUUACUGGCUUUAUUUAUAAGACGCUGGGCUCGCUGCGAUAGAUUAUUGCAGGGAUCUUCAGUAGAACCUUGACAACUGCAUAGUGAGUCUGGAAAAAAUAAAGCAUCUCAUGGAUGCAUUAUUUUUUUAGUCACAAUUUUGGUUUUAUGAUUCAUUCAUAAAACUUUUGUGUCUUCAAAAUAAUGUUUAAUUCUUGAGCAAGAGCCGAGACUCUAUAACUCUCUUUCAUUGUAUUAAUUACUUUGAGAGUUAGAUUCUUGAUUCUCUUUCAUUGGUGAAAGCUUUUAGAUUAUUUCUAAAGACUCUAGCCUAAUUAACUUGAUUGAAGAUCAAAAAGAAAGUGCUUAAUCGCACUAGAUUUAUAGAGAUUAAU
rnacentral:tRNA from 1 species